GUGAAAAGCUUCAACUCCAGGCAGAAAGGGGAGUGAGGAGCAAAGAAAACAACUCAGAACAAUCGCUGGAAAGCAAGAGCAUCCUAAAUCUCAUCUAUUAAGAGCAGAGAAAAACACCUAAAAACCUCCACCAUAUUUUUUUGUGUACAGUGCCUUUUUGCUGGCACUUGGUUACAACAAUAGUGGAGAAAAGUAGGCCCAUAAAGCAAGAUUGAUUGCUGGGAAGAUGAUCAAUUGCUGCUGUGAAAGGGGAAAAAACUGAUAAAUGUUUUUUUUUUCCCUCUCUUCACAACCUUUUGCUAAAGCUGUGCAAAAUGUGUCAUGCAUAAAAAGUAUGCAAUUUUCAUGUAAUUAGAGGAACACAAGAUGAAAAUGAGUUCCAUCAGAGCAAUCAAGGAUGGUAAUGUGAUAUAUAGAAGGCACAACCUUGUGGUCAUAACUAGAUCCCUGGCUUCUCACUGCAAAAUAAGAAACUAUCAUUAAAGAGUGGCUGAACAUAUUUUUCACAAAAUAAAGUGUUCAUGCUGCCUCUUGAUUGACUCGCUGCCAGACGUCCUCUGCAAGCCCCUGAUGGAAUGUUUCAAAGGCCCUCCUGUGGGAAGUUGUUUGGAUCACACAUAUCACAAAAAGAGAAAAAAAUCAAGGCAAGCCUAGGCCAGCUCAUGGAUUUGAAGUCAUCAAACUAUAUAAUCAGAGAUGCUUAGAUUUAGAAGGAACUGUAGAGGUCAUAUCAAUAGAUAUACAUGGAAUGAAUAUUGGUCUAAUGCAUGAAAGAUCCAGUGAAUCUAAUAAAAGCCCUACUGAAUUGCCUGCUAUAUUGCCUGGAAUUGUUAUUUACUUUUCAUGUAUAUUAAUUAACACUUCUGUACCCUUCACUCAGUGUUUGCAUCAUGCCUUGUGUAUGGGACAUAGUUAAGGAGUCCUUGGUACAUCUUUAUUGAAUUUAUACUGUCAGAGAUAUCUGUGCUAAAUGGGGAGGAGCAGAUAUUCA
rnacentral:lncRNA from 1 species